rnacentral:sRNA from 1 species
AAAUCAAGCAGCCUGUCAGUUCCUUUGGCCACGUCGGAAGAUGUCAUCUCAAACUAAGUUCAAGAAAGACAAAGAGAUCAUUGCUGAAUAUGAAGCCCAAAUAAAAGAGAUCCGCACGCAGCUGGUGGAGCAGUUCAAAUGUCUGGAGCAGCAAUCAGAGUCGCGACUGCAGCUGCUUCAAGACCUCCAGGAGUUUUUCCGCCGGAAAGCUGAGAUUGAGCUCGAGUACUCCCGCAGCCUGGAGAAGCUGGCCGAGCGCUUCUCCUCCAAAAUCCGCAGCUCCCGGGAGCACCAGUUCAAGAAGGACCAGUACCUCCUCUCGCCUGUGAACUGUUGGUAUCUGGUUCUGCAUCAGACCCGGCGGGAGAGCCGAGACCAUGCCACCCUCAAUGACAUCUUCAUGAACAAUGUCAUCGUCCGCCUCUCCCAGAUCAGUGAGGAUGUCAUCAGACUCUUCAAAAAGAGCAAGGAGAUUGGCCUGCAGAUGCACGAGGAGCUCCUGAAGGUGACCAAUGAGCUCUACACAGUCAUGAAAACCUACCACAUGUACCAUGCAGAGAGCAUCAGUGCAGAAAGCAAGCUGAAGGAGGCUGAGAAGCAGGAGGAGAAGCAGUUCAAUAAGUCAGGAGACCUCAGCAUGAACCUGCUCCGGCACGAGGACCGGCCCCAGCGCCGCAGCUCUGUGAAGAAGAUUGAGAAGAUGAAGGAGAAGAGGCAGGCUAAGUACUCUGAGAACAAGCUGAAAUGCACAAAGGCCCGGAAUGACUACUUGCUCAAUCUGGCAGCCACCAACGCAGCUAUAAGCAAAUACUACAUCCAUGACGUCUCCGAUCUGAUCGAUGUGAGCUCCCUGGGGAGUCUGGGACUGAGCAGGGCCCGUACCUGGGCUGGCGCACGUCACUGGCUGAAGGAGGGGCUGGUCUUUGUCUUUAGCUGACAUUCUCGGGUAGCUAGGGCUCUUUUGAGCCCUGCUGGAGGGGAAGGGCAGUGAGUUUGGGAGCUGGAAAAUGAGUGUUACCUCGUGAUGUCUAUUUUCACAAGUGGCACAUGGGCCUCUGGUGGCCCCAGUGCAGUUGGCUUGGGCAGUCGUAUAUCCAAUGCCAACUUCCCAAGUACCCUCCUGGACACCAGGUCCUUUGCUGGGUUUGAGGGGUUCAGGGGUGAACCACACACAGUUCAUGCCUUGGGGGAUUUCCCAGUGUGAUAAAGGAGAUGUUAUUAGUAAUAUGUUUAGCGCCCCUAGGGCCACUCAGCCAGACACACGUACAUGCGAAAGGAAGUAGCGAAUGAGAUAGACUUAAUUAUGCAGAUCAGCUUUGUAUGGGGAGAUUAUCUUGGGAGAAAUCGGGCAGCUUAAGCAAAUGGAGAACGGAACACUGACUCCCAAGUACCAGCUGUGCAGGACACGCCACAGGGACAAGCAGAUUGGGAGAAAGAACACUGUGAGCGAUGGCACUGGGGAGGGCUUCUGUGUCAUCUAAGUAGGAGCCAGGAUUGUUUCUCUCAUGUCCCCCUUCCUGCACAGAUGGGGGAGCUGGCCCUGUCCAUGCUUAGUAAAGGCUCGGUACUGGUUGAUGGACUCUUUUCCUGGUGUAUCCUGUUGGGAAGUCAGGGGGCUCCUGCUUUUCCCAUGGCUCCAUUGUCUGCAUCGCAAGGAGAGGGAGCUCCCAAAUGGCCCAAGGCCAGACCUUCCUCUUUCCUACUUUUCAACGUUCUUUUUUGCCCUUUCAGCGCUUUUAUUCAUUCAUUUACCAUAUAUUAAUUGAGCACCUGCUGUUGUCUGGAACUUGAGGUGCAGGAGCAGUGGGUUGGCCCUCAGGGAGCUUACCUCACCAAGGACAUGUUGAUAGGUGAUUUUAAUACUAAGUGGCAGGGGUCACAGUGAGAGAGGUAGAGGGAAAUGUGGACCCCUGGAGGAGGAUCACCUGACCAACUCUGAGUGGGGAGAACAUCAAGGAAGCCUUCCUGGAGGAAGUGACCUCUAAACUGAAUUCCAAAAGAAGAGUAUUCCAGGCAGAGGGGAUGCAUGCACACCACCCUAAAGAAGAGAAAGAUGGGCUCACGCUUGUAAUCUGAGCACUUUGGGAGGCCGAGGCGGGUAGAUCACAAGGUCAGGAGUUUGAGACCAGCCUCCUCCAACACAGUAAAACCCUGUCUCUAUUAAAAAUACAAAAAUUAGCUGGGCUUGGUGGUGGGCGCCUGUAAUCUCAGCUACUCGGGAGGCUGAGGCAGGAGAAUCGAUUGAACCCAGGAGGCGGAGAUUGCAGUGAGCCGAGAUCGUGCCACUGCACUCCAGCCUGGGUGACAGAACUAGACUCCAUCUC